rnacentral:rRNA from 1 species
CCAAUAGCGUAUAUUAAAGUUGUUGCAGUUAAAAAGCUCGUAGUUGAAUUUCGGGGUUAGCAGGUCGGUCGUGCCAUUGGUAUGAACUGGUCUCGCUGAUCCCUCCCUCUUGACGAACUGUGAUGCCAUUAAUUUGGUGUCGCAGGGAAUCAGGACUGUUACUUUGAAAAAAUUAGAGUGUUUAAAGCAGGCUUUAGCUUGAAUACAUUA